rnacentral:rRNA from 1 species
AGCAGCCGCGGUAAUACGAAGGGUGCAAGCGUUAAUCGGAAUUACUGGGCGUAAAGCGCGCGUAGGUGGUUCGUUAAGUUGGAUGUGAAAGCCCCGGGCUCAACCUGGGAACUGCAUCCAAAACUGGCAAGCUAGAGUACGGUAGAGGGUGGUGGAAUUUCCUGUGUAGCGGUGAAAUGCGUAGAUAUAGGAAGGAACACCAGUGGCGAAGGCGCUCUGCUGGACCAUAACUGACACUCAGGGACGAAAGCUAGGGGAGCGAAUGGGAUUAGAUACCCCAGUAGUCCUAGCCGUAAAC